GCGAUGCUGGAUUCUCAUCGGUGCGAGUUGUGCCCGACAGGACGGCAUGUUAUUUACUUGGGAUAAGUUAUUUGUCCUGACAUUCUGCUGUAGUACUUCCUGUCCUGAUGCAACUUGGAAUUCAUUGCUCCUUCAGUGAUUGAAACCCGACCAAACCCCGAGGCAACAAAGCAGGCCGUACCAUUAUACUCUCUCCAGUUUACUUCACAGUUGGGAUGAGGUUUUGUUGUUGAUCCUCGGUUGUCACCCCUGGGUUCUUUGUCACGCGUUUAUGGAUUCUGCGAUUUGAUCUUUAUGGGACGCCCACUCCAAGCGAGAGAAGCAGCAACGCUGAAUUUCUUCCAUAACUGUGGACUGAUGCAGGUCCAAGUCUUUAGGAAUCCGGUUACAGUUCUUUCCACUCGACCUUCAACACCUCAUCUUAUGUGGUCCCCGUGAAAUCUCCCUGGAUCCGAUCGCAUGGCAGAACUCCGUAGCGAACGGCAGGUUACAUUGCAAGGGCAGGUCACGCUCGCGCCUGAGACGCUCUGGAACACUUGACCCCAACGACCUGCUUUUCAAGACGCCAUUAUCCUAGAGGUUCAUGCACUUUUACAGUCAGUGACCUCGAUUGUUUAAACCAUUCAUUUAAUAAAGU